UACGUAGGGUGCGAGCGUUAAUCGGAAUUACUGGGCGUAAAGCGUGCGCAGGCGGUUCGUUGUGUCGGUGGUGAAAGCUCGGGGCUCAACCUCGAGUCGGCCGUGCGAACUGCUGGGCUCGAGCACUGUAGAGGCAGGCGGAAUUCCGGGUGUAGCGGUGGAAUGCGUAGAGAUCCGGAAGAACACCGGUGGCGAAGGCGGCCUGCUGGGCAGUGGCUGACACUGAGGCGCGACAGCGUGGGGAGCAAACAGG
rnacentral:rRNA from 1 species